UACGGAGGGUGCGAGCGUUAUUCGGAAUUACUGGGCGUAAAGCGCGUGCAGGCGGGUAGGCAAGUCUGAUGUGAAAGCCCUGGGCUUAACCCGGGAAGUGCAUUGGAAACUGGCUGUCUUGAGUACUGGAGAGGAAGGUGGAAUUCCCGGUGUAGCGGUGAAAUGCGUAGAGAUCGGGAGGAAUACCAGUGGCGAAGGCGCCCUUCUGGACGGUUACUGACGCUGAGACGCGAAAGCGUGGGGAGCAAACAGG
rnacentral:rRNA from 1 species